UCGCAGUGAGGCUGCUAAUGUUUGACUGACACAUAAAUUUCGAUCUCAAUGAGCUCUUAUAGUGGAUGUUGGUGAUAAUUGAUCUACUGUAAGAAUAGGGUACGCAUCAAAACAGGAUCUAUUGACCUUAAUAGAGAGGAGUAGUCCUAUAAAAUUUGAAAGACUAAGUCCAAGAAUCUAUGGUCAUAGUAUUGUGAUUGAUGGAAAAGAGUUUUCAUAGAAGUCACAACUAGAUUUGAACUAAUCGAAUCUAUCAUAUGAUUGAUAUUGAGGGUUGAUGAUUUAUCCAUGACCUGCCAUCUAGUCAGAACUCAUGGU
rnacentral:lncRNA from 1 species